CUUUCUCCCAGAACAUCCAUUCUAAGGAGAAUACUCUGGCCAACCAUGUCUUCAUUCCUCUCCAUGCUGUACUCUUGACUCUUUGGACUUUUUCCUCUACCAGGGCCCUGAUUUGCUCUGGGCUUUGGUGCAACCGACAUGGUAUCAUCUGCAGCAUCAGUGAUAGUAUCCCAAUCACAGGGAAUCUCUCUUCAACUGAACUCUGUGCUCAAUAUGUACCACAAUGGUGAACAUUUCUGAAUAGUAACCCGAAGCCCAGACAGCCAAAGCUACCUGCCUGAGGCCACACACGUAAGAAAUAGCAGAUCAAGGAUCCCCGCCGCACCCUGUGACUUUAAGUACGUUGCUCUUUUGAAUAGCAAGGCUGUUUUCCAUGAGAAAUGUUUAUUUUGAA